AGAGUUUGAUCCUGGCUCAGGAUGAACGCUAGCGACAGGCCUAACACAUGCAAGUCGAGGGGCAGCGGGGAGGUAGCAAUACCUUUGCCGGCGACCGGCGCACGGGUGAGUAACACGUAUGCAAUCCACCUGUAACAGGGGGAUAACCCGGAGAAAUCCGGACUAAUACCCCAUAAUAUGGGCGCUCCGCAUGGAGAGUUCAUUAAAGAGAGCAAUUUUGGUUACAGACGAGCAUGCGCUCCAUUAGCCAGUUGGCGGGGUAACGGCCCACCAAAGCGACGAUGGAUAGGGGUUCUGAGAGGAAGGUCCCCCACAUUGGAACUGAGACACGGUCCAAACUCCUACGGGAGGCAGCAGUGAGGAAUAUUGGUCAAUGGACGAGAGUCUGAACCAGCCAAGUCGCGUGAGGGAAGACUGCCCUAUGGGUUGUAAACCUCUUUUAUAAGGGAAGAAUAAGUUCUACGUGUAGAAUGAUGCCUGUACCUUAUGAAUAAGCAUCGGCUAACUCCGUGCCAGCAGCCGCGGUAAUACGGAGGAUGCGAGCGUUAUCCGGAUUUAUUGGGUUUAAAGGGUGCGUAGGCGGUUUAUUAAGUUAGUGGUUAAAUAUUUGAGCUAAACUCAAUUGUGCCAUUAAUACUGGUAAACUGGAGUACAGACGAGGUAGGCGGAAUAAGUUAAGUAGCGGUGAAAUGCAUAGAUAUAACUUAGAACUCCGAUAGCGAAGGCAGCUUACCAGACUGUAACUGACGCUGAUGCACGAGAGCGUGGGUAGCGAACAGGAUUAGAUACCCUGGUAGUCCACGCCGUAAACGAUGCUCACUGGUUCUGUGCGAUAUAUUGUACGGGAUUAAGCGAAAGUAUUAAGUGAGCCACCUGGGGAGUACGUCGGCAACGAUGAAACUCAAAGGAAUUGACGGGGGCCCGCACAAGCGGAGGAACAUGUG
rnacentral:rRNA from 1 species